rnacentral:RNase_P_RNA from 1 species
GAAGCAGAUCGGGUGAUUGCUUUCUGCCCUGUGGCAGGAAGAGGAAAGUCCGGGCUCCAAAUAGCAGCGUAGCGGGUAAUGCCCGUCCGCCGUGAGGCGAGGAUAAGAGCCACAGAGACGAGUCCCUUUGUUUAUCAAGGGGGGUGAAACGCGGCAAUCUCUACGCGGAGCAAGUCCAAAUAGGGAAGGAACCAGGAAAGUCCGGUACGUGCGGAACGACUGGUACGAGGCGGCUAGUCUCGUCAAACUUCCGGGUAGGCCGCAAGAGCCCCGCAGCAAUGCCGGGCCAAGAUGGAUAAUCACCUCCGCUUUAUGCGGAACAGAACCCGGCUUACAGAUCUGCUUCUGUG